rnacentral:rRNA from 1 species
CUUUAAGUUUCAGUCUUGCGACCGUACUCCCCAGGCGGCUAGCUUAACGGCUUCCCUGCGACACUCCAAUCGCGAUUUGCGACUGGAUCAUCUAGCUCGCAUCGUUUACGGCUGGGACUACCCGGGUAUCUAAUCCGGUUCGCUCCCCCAGCUUUCAUCCCUCACCGUCGAGCGCGUUCUGGUGGACCGCCUUCGCCACUGGUGGUCUUCCGCGGAUCAAAGGAUUUUACCCCUACCCGCGGAGUACCGUCCACCUCUCCCGCCUCCUAGUCCGGCGGUAUCCCCUGCGGGCCAAUCGUUGAGCGAUUGGAUUUAGCAGGGGACCUACCGAACCGGCUACGGAUGCUUUAGGCCCAAUAAUCGCCCCGACCACUCGAGGAGCUGGUAUUACCGCGGCGGCUGACACCAGGCUUGCCCUCCCCUUAUUCUCCAG